CAAUAGCGUAUAUUAAAGUUGUUGCAGUUAAAAAGCUCGUAGUUGGAUUUGUGGUGUACUUUGGCGGCCCGUCACUAUGUGAUGGAGCUUGCUGAAGUCGCCAUCCUUGGGUGGAUCCUGUGUGGCAUUAAGUUGUCGUGCAGGGGAUGCCCAUCGUUUACUGUGAAAAAAUUAGAGUGUUCAAAGCAGGCUUAUGCCGUUGAAUAUAUUAGCAUGGAAUAAUAAGAUAGGACCUUGGUUCUAUUUUGUUGGUUUGCGCACCAAGGUAAUGAUUAAUAGGGACAGUUGGGGGUAUUCGUAUUUCAUUGUCAGAGGUGAAAUUCUUGGAUUUUUGAAAGACGAACUACUGCGAAAGCAUUUACCAAGGAUGUUUNCAUUAA
rnacentral:rRNA from 1 species